rnacentral:rRNA from 1 species
GACGAACGCUGGCGGCGUGCUUAACACAUGCAAGUCGAACGGAAAGGCCCUGCUUUUGUGGGGUGCUCGAGUGGCGAACGGGUGAGUAACACGUGAGUAACCUGCCCUUGACUUUGGGAUAACUUCAGGAAACUGGGGCUAAUACCGGAUAGGAGCUCCUGCUGCCUGGUGGGGGUUGGAAAGUUUCGGCGGUUGGGGAUGGACUCGCGGCUUAUCAGCUUGUUGGUGGGGUAGUGGCUUACCAAGGCUUUGACGGGUAGCCGGCCUGAGGGGGUGACCGGCCACAUUGGGACUGAGAUACGGCCCAGACUCCUACGGGAGGCAGCAGUGGGGAAUAUUGCACAAUGGGCGGAAGCCUGAUGCAGCAACGCCGCGUGCGGGAUGACGGCCUUCGGGUUGUAAACCGCUUUCGCCUGUGACGAAGCGUGAGUGACGGUAAUGGGUAAAGAAGCACCGGCUAACUACGUG